UAAUUAAACCCCUAAGUUUCUACGGUUGUACUCAACUGUUGAUCAAAAUAAGGAAAUUAACCUACUUAUUUCCACAUUGGCACAACUGUUGAAACAAAUGUAAAAAAAGAUUAUAUAAAAGUUUUAUUCAGGGGCUUGAUGAAUGUAGAAGAUAAACUACGUCUUUUUUUUGAUGAACAGAAGAUAAACUACAUCUUCUAUCUACGAUUAUCAGUGUUGAAAAUUAGAAACACGGAACUUAUAUAAAGCUAUAGAACAAAUCAAAGUUUUAUAGGUAGCUCUCACAGUUUCUCAUUUUCUCUCUAGUAGCUCAAAUCUCUCUCAGACAAAACUUAGAAAUUUCAAAGCCAAUUUCAUAGCUCUCAAUCAUGGAAAUUUCGAAGCUCUAGGUCAUGGCAAUUUCAUAGCUAUUGGUCUCUCAAUGCGGUGGCUCUGUCUCAUCGUCACUCACAAAAUCGAAGUCGAAGUCUUCUGUCAACUCCUCUACUCUUCGCCUACCUCAUCUAAAUCUCCUCCAAUUUUCUAGGGUUUCAAGCUCAGUCGCCACUGCGACAUGAAGAUCAUUUUGCCUGAUUCGUCUCGAUUCUUCCAUGGAGGCAAAUUCGAGUCUACUACAAAGGAUGGUCAAGCUAAUAAAGAGAAGUAUGAAAAAGAAUUUAAGGAUUCAGCAGCCAGCGAACUCAUGCAAGCAGAGGAGGUGGCAAUGUUGGAUAAGUUUCUGUAUGGUUGUAGGGGCUUUAGUGGAAGGAAAAUAAAUAGGAUUGGGAAUGGAGCAAAUUUGGCGCAGGAAACUCUUUCUCUUAGCCCAUUUAAAUAUAAGGGAACUUCUUUGCAAACCUGCCACAGCCACUAAAUAAUGUUGGUGGCCAGGGGCAGAACUGCAUAGAGAAACUUUGCAAAAAUUCAACUUUCACCUUGUAGCUAAACUUUUCAAAAAUAUAUAUGGUUCCUCCUCCCCACCCCCCCACCAAUUGAAAUUCUAGUUCCACCCCUGUUGGUGGCUGUUGUGAAAAUUAAUGAAGUUAGGCUGGGUGGAGCCCUCUGUGGCAUAAAGAUUUUAUACCUGUAACAUCAUUAAACCAUUUGGCACUUAAAAAUUUAAGAUAUGUUACUUACCUUUUCUUUUUUUCUUUUUUUAAAUUUUGAAAAACCUUUGACUUACUACAUUAUUCACUAAAACUAUUGCAUAUAGGAAUGUACCCAUUUCUUGGGAUCCAUAUGGGCAUCCGUGUUUUAAUAAUCAUGUGAAAAUGCCUAGCCUACUUAUACGAAGACUAAUGAGUAUUUUUUUUCUGACUCAGCGUUGGAUUUGUAGUGUAUUUCACAAUGUAAAGAAAAGAAAAUAUGAUAUAGAUGGAGAAAGAGAUUCUCUUUAUUAGUAGGAUAAGGACAAACUGAAAAGUAAGAAAGAAGGAGAAAAACACAGAGCUUAAAAUCCAAAAACUUGGAAGUUCAGUUUCGUAAGUGUCAUUCCCCUCCUUGUUUUGUGGUUUGUCUGUCUUGAAGCAUUUCCAGUUAUCAACUAAUCAAAAUUUCUUUUGGCCUUAAAAGAUUAUAUGCAUCUUUUUUCCAUGUGUCUUCUCUUGAAAAUAAUUUGCUGAUAAGUUCAGUAUUUCAGCAUCUUUUUUCCAUAUCAAUUGCGUGACUAAUUUGGAUAAACUGCAACCUGCAAUCAACCUUUUUUUACUGCUUCAAGUCUUUGGCCGGUUGCCUUGUUUUUCAUGUUUCCACAAAGUAAUUUAAAUGUUGUAUUAGAAUCCUUUGGUUUGUCAUUUGUGUUUGGUAGGCCUUGUCACUGGGAAUUCCUUGUCUGAGUAGACCCCACACCCUUUGAACAAUUCACUGAGAGCUUCUUGUGAAAUUUUUCAUACGCAAGAUAUUUCUUUCUUGUCCUAUCCGCUUCCCACUGUAAGUUCUUCAUAGCUUCACCCUCACCCCCUCAAAGAGUUAGAAAAUAUAAAUUCAGCCAGUUAAGUUUAAAUGUAAAAGGGACUGAGAUGUCUAUGAUAUCCCACCAUAAGAAUUUUUACAAAAUUUGUCAACAUGUAAAAACCAUAUUAUGGAUGAAUGAUUUUACUUAAUAUAAAUUAAAUAGUCAUUUCCUAUUUGACUUUUAAUUUUAAAAAUUUAAGGCAUUUUAAUUUUGUCAACUGUUUUGUCAAUUAGGUACUUAUUUUGUCUAAUAAUAACUUGAAUUUUUUUCUUAUGUUGAUAUGUAUUGUGUUAAACAGGACUAGUUUGAGCAAUAUCAUGAGCGGGUGAUUGAGGCUGAGCAUGUGAUACUGAGUACUCUAAAUUUUGAACUUAAUAUGCAACAUCCAUAUGCUCCUCUAAGCUAACCUAUUUUGUUAAGAUCUCUAAGCUAUAGGUUGAAGUGAAAAAGUGCUUAACUGCCUUGAAAUAGUAGUAGUCAAUGGUCAAGUAGGUAAGGCUAUAUAGUAAGGGAUGGGGAGAGGAUGGUGGGGAUCCCUGUGAGGAGUCAUGGACAGGAGUGUAAUUUUUUGAUUCAUUUGCUAUAACCCUUCUAUGUUCCACAACCCUUUAUGCAGUAAAAUUCAAGGACUAAACCUACUGGAGGCCAGCUUAAUAACCUGCAUCAUUUGAAACACCUGUAAGUGAAUAUGUCUUGUUAUAUUUAUCUCUUAUUGAAGUUGUACCAGCAUUGUCUAUAUAAUUCUUUAUUCUGGAUUCUUCGUUAGGGAUGUCAGCUACAAUAACAUUCAAGGUGAAAUUCUAUACAACUUACCUCCCAAUGCCACAAAUAUGUAGGAUGUCUGAUUUGUAAACUGUGAUUCCUGUAUGCUUAGCUUUUCUUUCUUUCAAGUUUUUGGUGAUUAUUCUACUUUUUCAUGAAUGCAAGAAUAUGGCAUACAACUAUUUGAGACAAAAUAUUCCCCACUCUCUACCAGUCAUGAAAUGUCUCUAACAUCAGUGAGUUACUUCUCCCCCCAAGUGCCUAUUUACUGAAUUGCUUUUGCUUUUUGGUUAUUCAAUCAGAAUCUCUUAAUUCUUUUCUUGUAGAAAUCUAAACCACAAGUAGUUAUCUGGACCAAUUGACAAUGUCUUUACUGGCUUACAGAAUCUUAGAGAGAUGUAUGUGUUCUGCACCUGAUCCUUAUAUUUCCUUUUCCUUGGUGUUUGAAGUGAAAAGAAAAUAAUGCCAAGUACAAAGAGGAUGUUGUUGAUGCUAGUAGAACCUUGAGAGAAGUUGGUGAUGAUCUUGAUGAAGUUAUGUAGCAAAUUAUGCAACAAACAAGAACUCUCCAAAUACCUUUUAGUGUACAAGGAUUGGCUAUUGUAAAUACUUGUAAGUGUACUAUUCAAAACAGGUUUUGUGUA